rfam:Oryza glumipatula chromosome 8, whole genome shotgun sequence.
UAUAAGUACAGUUGUGGGUUCCCGUAUCCAACGUUUGACUAUCUGUAUUAUCUGAAAAAAAAUUAUGAUUAGUUCUUUUAUUGUUAUUACAUCAUAAAACAUGAAUAGUUGUGACUAUUUUUUUAAAACUUUUUUUCAUAAAUUUCUCAAAUAAGAUGGACGGUUAAACGUUGGACACGGAAACCCACAACUGCACUUAUA